rnacentral:snRNA from 1 species
AGAUGUGAGGGUGAUCUGGCUGCGACCUCUGUCACCCCAUUGAUCGCCAGGGUUGAUUCGGCCGAUCUGGCUGGCUAGGCAGGUGUCCCCUUCCUGCUUCACCGCUCCAUGGGUGUCCCUCCCGAAGCUGCGCGCUCGGUCUAAGAGGACGACCUUCCCCAAAUAGAGGAGGACCGGUCUUCUGUCAAGGAUAUAUGAGCAGCUGCGCUCCCCUGCUAGAACCUCCAAACAAGCUCUCAAAUACAUACACCAUUUUUUAGGUUCUUUUUUUUUUUUUUUACAACUUCCAUAAUUAUAGACAAUAAACCAUG